rnacentral:rRNA from 1 species
AUUGAACGCUGGCGGCAUGCCUUACACAUGCAAGUCGAACGGCAGCACGGGAGCAAUCCUGGUGGCGAGUGGCGAACGGGUGAGUAAUAUAUCGGAACGUGCCCAGUCGUGGGGAUAACGUAGCGAAAGCUACGCUAAUACCGCAUACGAUCUAUGGAUGAAAGCGGGGGAUCGCAAGACCUCGCGCGAUUGGAGCGGCCGAUAUCAGAUUAGGUAGUUGGUGAGGUAAAGGCUCACCAAGCCGACGAUCUGUAGCUGGUCUGAGAGGACGACCAGCCACACUGGGACUGAGACACGGCCCAGACUCCUACGGGAGGCAGCAGUGGGGAAUUUUUGGACAAUGGGCGAAAGCCUGAUCCAGCAAUGCCGCGUGAGUGAUGAAGGCCUUAGGGUGUAAAGCUCUUUUUACUCGGGUAUGAUAAUGACAGUACCGGGAGAAUAAAGCUCCGGCUAACUCCGUGCCAGCAGCCGCGGUAAAGUG